CGCAUGGUUCUGCGCUCCUGUUCUGAGCUGUCCUAACUUGCCCAGACAUGCCGUGAUGACGUCACAGCUGACGUCACAGGAUGUCCGGAACUGGUGGUCAUAGCUGCGAUGCUUUGCAACCUGGUUCUGUGCUCCGUCGCCCAGCGACGGACAGCGGCCUUUCCGGGCGCUUUCUUCAAGAUGGCCGUCGUUGAUCUUCAACUAAAC